rnacentral:lncRNA from 1 species
CUUCUAUUAAUUCAUUUGUUUGCUUGGCUCCCAGAGAAGCUCCUGCUACAUUAUUCUGCAAAGGAGGCUCAGGUGGCUUUUUAUUUGCUUAUUUAAGCACCUUCCCACCUUAUGCUGAGUCCUGGUGGGUUUGUGUGAAUAUGUCAGGCUAGCAGUGCUACCAUUAUUCCCUUGAAUGUCUGAGUUUAUUCAAUCCUCCCUGGGAUUAUCAGGCAGGGAAGAAGAUAACAAAGAGAUCCAUCUUCUACAGCCUCCCAUGAAGCAUACAAGUGGCUGCGGGAGAAUCUGCUUGAAAAAGAAAGAACUUUUCUGAAUUGCGAGGUGACUUGAAAACACUGUAUUGUAAUGGCUGGCAUUGGCUGGAGAAGAGGGAAGGGGGUGUCGCAGCGGGGAUGCACCAGCCUGCCACCGACAUGGACCUGUGCCCAACUCCAGCUUGACUCCAAGUAACACACAAUCGUAAGUCAAAGUAAUAAGAGCAUUUAAUUGGUCACUAGUGACUGUUUUAGUAAUUUACUGUGUGGCAUCAAAGGAUUAAAAAAAAGGCCCACAAGGGAAAGCAGGGGAGCCACGGUCCUAAAAGUUUCCCUUGAGCAGGACCCAGGGGGAUUCUCCGAGAUGACCCCACUGCUCCAGGAGCACUGAUCCUGCUGGCGAUCAGCCCUGCUGGCCCCCAGCCUCACAGAAAGCCCACAGACAAGCCAAAAUGAUGCCCAGCUCUUUGGUUUAUUGGGUACCAUCCAAAUCCCACAACCUUCCUGAGGGGAGGCUGGAUGGGGAUGACUGCUGCCACACUCGAAAUAACUCAGUUUAGGCCAAUGGGAUGCAGUGCCUGGCUGUUGUUUUCAAAGGGUAAAAUGUCACUGAUGGCAGAUUUUUAACCUAGUGCAAUUCAGCAGAUAUUUGAUACUUUUAUUUCCUUCUGCUGACUUUAUACGGUGGAACAGGAGGCGGUUUGCACAGAUUAAACAGUAUUCUGUCUGCAAAUUAAAAUCAAUAACUUAUUUAUAGGGCUGCCGAUGUUCCCACAGCAAAACAAGCCUGCCAAGUGGCUGUAAAAGUCCCGAAUCAAAUGCCGUGUAUCUCCAGCCCAUCUACGCAGUUGGCUGUCUGUGGCCAUAGAUACAACACAACUUAUCUAGUAAUUGUAUCGCCUGGUA